CCAGCUUUAGCUCAGUUGGUAGUAGCGAUUGGCUGUAAUCAAUAUGUCACCAAUAGUGCCCAGUUCAAAUUUGAGAAGCCGGA